rnacentral:rRNA from 1 species
GAUGAACGCUAGCGGGAGGCUUAACACAUGCAAGUCGAGGGGUAAAUGGCAGCAAUGCUAUGAGACCGGCGAACGGGUGCGUAACGCGUAUGCAACUUACCUUAUGCAGGGGGAUAGCCCGUGGAAACGCGGAUUAAUAUCCCAUAGAUCAGUGGUAUCGCAUGGUACAGCUGGUAAAGCUCAGGUGGCAUAAGAUGGGCAUGCGUCUGAUUAGCUGGUUGGUAGGGUAACGGCCUACCAAGGCGACGAUCAGUAGGGGUUCUGAGAGGAUUAACCCCCACACUGGUACUGAGACACGGACCAGACUCCUACGGGAGGCAGCAGUGAGGAAUAUUGGUCAAUGGGCGAAGCCUGAACCAGCCAUCCCGCGUGAAGGAAGAAGGCCUUAUGGGUUGUAAACUUCUUUUCUGUUUGAAGAAUAAGCUUGUCGUGACAAGUGAUGCCGGUAGGACAGGAAUAAGCAUCGGCUAACUCCGUGCCAGCAGCCG